rnacentral:rRNA from 1 species
AACGAACGCUGGCGGCAGGCCUAACACAUGCAAGUCGAGCGCCCUUUCGGGGGAGCGGCGGACGGGGGAGUAACGCGUGGGAAUAUGCCCUUCUCUACGGAAUAGCCUCGGGAAACUGAGAGUAAUACCGUAUACGCCCUAUGGGGGAAAGAUUUAUCGGGGAAGGAUUAGCCCGCGUUGGAUUAGGUAGUUGGUGGGGUAAUGGCCUACCAAGCCGACGAUCCAUAGCUGGUUUGAGAGGAUGAUCAGCCACACUGGGACUGAGACACGGCCCAGACUCCUACGGGAGGCAGCAGUGGGGAAUCUUAGACAAUGGGGGCAACCCUGAUCUAGCCAUGCCGCGUGAGUGAUGAAGGCCUUAGGGUUGUAAAGCUCUUUCAGCUGGGAAGAUAAUGACGGUACCAGCAGAAGAAGCCCCGGCUAACUCCGUG